AAGAAAGCCUGCUGGAAGAAUGUUCA
rnacentral:piRNA from 1 species